CCUACGGGUGGCUGCAGUGGGGAAUAUUGGACAAUGGGGGCAACCCUGAUCCAGCCAUGCCGCGUGUGUGAAGAAGGCCCUCGGGUUGUAAAGCACUUUCAGUGAGGAAGAACGCCUGGUGGUUAAUACCCAUCAGGAAAGACAUCACUCACAGAAGAAGCACCGGCUAACUCCGUGCCAGCAGCCGCGGUAAUACGGAGGGUGCGAGCGGUAAUCGGAAUUACUGGGCGUAAAGGGCGCGUAGGUGGCUUGAUAAGCCGGUUGUGAAAGCCCCGGGCUCAACCUGGGAACGGCAUCCGGAACUGUCAAGCUAGAGUGCAGGAGAGGAAGGUAGAAUUCCCGGUGUAGCGGUGAAAUGCGUAGAGAUCGGGAGGAAUACCAGUGGCGAAGGCGGCCUUCUGGACUGAAACUGACACUGAGGUGCGAAAGCGUGGGUAGCAAACAGGAUUAGAUACCCGAGUAGUC
rnacentral:rRNA from 1 species